AAUAAGAAGUCAUUCUCCCUCUGUUUUUCUGUCUUUUUCAUUCACGUAUAUACGUACGUUUUGAUUUUUCGUAUUAAGCUCGGGCAAUACCAUAAUAAAUGUCAACGUUCGUUCUCGUGUAUAGUAUUGCGCAUUCACCCGAGUCUAAGGAGCAAGAAACUCGCUAAGAAUAGAUUUGCGAACGAGUUCAAAGAAGGCCGCCUCCUUCGAAGAGAUUCCCUUCCAAGUGCAAACUAGAAGGAAUUCGAAACUUUCUAUUUUUACGAUCGAUCUUUCUCCUAUCUUCCUAAGACAACGCAACGAAUCCAAUCGAUGACAUCGCCCGUUACACGUACUUGAAAUGAAAAUUCAAAAUUCGUCCGAUGACGCGCGUGCAAUUGGUAGUCACGUCCUCUAUCGACCGUAGAGGCGCACCAAUCAAAAAUGGCGGGAAGGGGUGAAAAAUAGCAUGGCAGCCUAUCCAAAAUCUACCAAAAUCUUUACAGAACGGAUCGAUAAAGGAGAGAAUAAGCAAAUUUAUAAAGGCGCUAUGCCCUUAGUACGUUCAGUGUUAAAAUCGCACUCAAAUAAUAACACUCACUCCUCCAAGAUCCUUGAUUUUUGCCUCUAGCUUGGCCGAAGUGGCAUGAUUCUUUAUAUCCAAAUAAAAUGACUUCUUUGCCAAAGGUUUCAGGCCCUUCUGUAUGCGAACAUCUAGAAAUAAAUAAACCUAUUUCAAUGUC